rnacentral:rRNA from 1 species
AGUGAACGCUGGCGGCAGGCCUAACACAUGCAAGUCGAACGGCAGCACAGCAGUAGCAAUACUGUGGGUGGCGAGUGGCGGACGGGUGAGGAAUACAUCGGGAUCUACCUUUUCGUGGGGGAUAACGUAGGGAAACUUACGCUAAUACCGCAUACGCCCUACGGGGGAAAGCGGCGGACCGCAAGGCGUCGCGCGAUGAGAUGAACCGAUGUCCGAUUAGCUAGUUGGCGGGGUAAAGGCCCACCAAGGCGACGAUCGGUAGCUGAUCUGAGAGGAUGAUCAGCCACACUGGAACUGAGACACGGUCCAGACUCCUACGGGAGGCAGCAGUGGGGAAUAUUGGACAAUGGGCGCAAGCCUGAUCCAGCCAUGCCGCGUGGGUGAAGAAGGCCUUCGGGUUGUAAAGCCCUUUGUCCGGUAAAGAAAGACACGGGAUUAAUACCCUCGUCGUGAUGACGGUACCGGAAGAAUAAGACACCGGCUAACUUCGUGCCAGCAGCCGAC